UGGGGAAUAUUGGACAAUGGGGGCAACCCUGAUCCAGCAAUGCCGCGUGUGUGAAGAAGGUCUUCGGAUUGUAAAGCACUUUCGACGGGGACGAUGAUGACGGUACCCGUAGAAGAAGCCCCGGCUAACUUCGUGCCAGCAGCCGCGGUAAUACGAAGGGGGCUAGCGUUGCUCGGAAUGACUGGGCGUAAAGGGCGUGUAGGCGGUUUACACAGUCAGAUGUGAAAUCCCCGGGCUUAACCUGGGAGCUGCAUUUGAUACGUGUAGACUAGAGUGUGAGAGAGGGUUGUGGAAUUCCCAGUGUAGAGGUGAAAUUCGUAGAUAUUGGGAAGAACACCGGUGGCGAAGGCGGCAACCUGGCUCAUGACUGACGCUGAGGCGCGAAAGCGUGGGGAGCAAACAGGUUAGAUACCCUGGUAGUCCACGCUGUAAACGAUGUGUGCUAGAUGUUGGGUAACUUUGUUAUUCAGUGUCGCAGUUAACGCGUUAAGC
rnacentral:rRNA from 1 species